rnacentral:rRNA from 1 species
GACGAACGCUGGCGGCGUGCUUAACACAUGCAAGUCGAACGGAAAGGCCCUGCUUGCAGGGUGCUCGAGUGGCGAACGGGUGAGUAACACGUGGGUGAUCUGCCCCUUACUUUGGGAUAAGCCUGGGAAACUGGGUCUAAUACUGGAUAGGACCAUGCUGUAGGUGGUGUGGUGGAAAGAUUAGUUUCGGUAAGGGAUGAGCUCGCGGCCUAUCAGCUUGUUGGUGGGGUAAUGGCCUACCAAGGCGUCGACGGGUAGCCGGCCUGAGAGGGUGGACGGCCACAUUGGGACUGAGAUACGGGCCAGACUCCUACGGGAGGCAGCAGUGGAGAAUAUUGCACAAUGGGCGCAAGCCUGAUGCAGCGACGCCGCGUGGGGGAUGACGGCCUUCGGGUUGUAAACUCCUUUCAGCCAUGACGAAGCCCUUGUGGUGACGGUAGUGGUAGAAGAAGCACCGGCUAACUACGUG